GACGAACGCUGGCGGCGUGCUUAACACAUGCAAGUCGAACGGAAAGGCCCUGCUUUUGUGGGGUGCUCGAGUGGCGAACGGGUGAGUAACACGUGAGUAACCUGCCCUUUACUUUGGGAUAACUUCAGGAAACUCGGGCUCAUACCGGAUAUGAGCUCCUGCUGCAUGGUGGGGGUUGGAAAGUUUCGGCGGUUGGGGAUGGACUCGCGGCUUAUCAGCUUGUUGGUGGGGUAGUGGCUUACCAAGGCUUUGACGGGUAGCCGGCCUGAGAGGGUGACCGGCCACAUUGGGACUGAGAUACGGCCCAGACUCGUACGGGAGGCAGCAGUGGGGAAUAUUGCACAAUGGGCGGAAGCCUGAUGCAGCAACGCCGCGUGCGGGAUGACGGCCUUCGGGUUGUAAACCGCUUUCGCCUGUGACGAAGCGUGAGUGACGGUAAUGGGUAAAGAAGCACCGGCUAACUACGUG
rnacentral:rRNA from 1 species